rnacentral:rRNA from 1 species
ACUAUUAAACAAGCAAGAGUUUUUGGUGGAUGCCUUGGGUCUGGAAGUCGAUGAAGGACGUGAUUACCUGCGAUAAGCCUCGGUUAGCUGGAAAUAAGCUGUUAUCCGGGGAUUUCCGAAUGGGGAAACCUAAUUGAGCUAAUCCUCAAUUAUCAUAUCGAUGAAUUCAUAGUCGAAUGAAGAGACACGCUGUGAAUUGAAACAUCUCAGUAGCAGCAGGAAGAGAAAAUAAAGAAUGAUUCCCUAAGUAGUGGCGAGCGAACGGGGAAGAGCCCAAACCAACACAUGUUGUUGGGGUUGUAGGACUGCG